UGCCCACAGUCCCCUGCCCGAGGACUGGGAGCGGGUAUCAGGCACCUCUUCCCUUGCCCAAGACGCCUCGCUCAGCCACACUCCCAAGGGACCACAGCAGUGAUAGACAUUAAGCCCUAAGUGAAAACUUGACUUAGUUAAAGCCAAAGAGGGCCGGUAAAACUCGUGCCAGCCACCGCGGUUAUACGAGGGGCCCAAGUUGACAGAUACCGGCGUAAAACGUGGCAAAAACGUACCCCCGACUAAAGCCAAACACCCCCAAAGCUGUAAUACGUAAAUGGGGGCAGGAAGCCCUACCACGAAGGUGGCUUUACUUAAUUUGAACCCACGAAAGCUAGGGGACAAACUGGGAUUAGACACCCCACUAUGCCUAGCCCUAAACAUUGAUAGCACCUUACAUUCGUUAUCCGCCCGGGAACUACGAGCAACAGCUUAAAACCCAAAGGACUUGGCGGUGCUUUAGACCCCCCUAGAGGAGCCUGUUCUAGAACCGAUGACCCCCGUUCAACCUCACCUCUCCUUGUCUAACCCGCCUAUAUACCGCCGUCGUCAGCUUACCCUGUGAAGGUCAAACAGUAAGCAAACUUGGUUCAACCUAAAACGCCAGGUCGAGGUGUAGCGUAUGAAGAGGGAAGCAAUGGGCUACACUCACUACAACAGUAAACACGAACGGCGUGCUGAAACGCACCCCUGAAGGAGGAUUUAGCAGUAAGCAG
rnacentral:rRNA from 1 species